CCCACACCUCCCAGACUCCCCAGACCUCCCAUCCUCACCCCCCACCCGCGGUUCUGCAGUCGCCCUGGCCGGUUCUCUGCGCUGCAUCGCGGACGAAUCCGGGAACCCAGGCCGAGGGGCUGAAAGUGGGAAGCCACUAACCUCAAAGGAGCAGCACUAA
rnacentral:lncRNA from 1 species